rnacentral:rRNA from 1 species
GAACGCUAGCGGCAGGCUUAACACAUGCAAGUCGAGGGGCAGCAUAAUGAAGUAGCAAUACGGAUUUGAUGGCGACCGGCGCACGGGUGCGUAACGCGUAUGUAACCUACCUCUAACAGGGGGAUAACACUGAGAAAUUGGUACUAAUACCCCAUAACACUUAAGGAGGCAUCUUCUUGAGUUGAAAGUUCCGGCGGUUAGAGAUGGACAUGCGUUGUAUUAGUUAGAUGGUGAGGUAACGGCUCACCAUGGCGACGAUACAUAGGGGGACUGAGAGGUUAACCCCCCACACUGGUACUGAGACACGGACCAGACUCCUACGGGAGGCAGCAGUGAGGAAUAUUGGUCAAUGGGCGAGAGCCUGAACCAGCCAAGUAGCGUGAAGGAUGACUGCCCUAUGGGUUGUAAACUUCUUUUGUUCGGGAAUAAAGUGCAGUACGUGUACUGUUUUGUAUGUACCGUUCGAAUAAGCAUCGGCUAAUUCCGUG